rnacentral:rRNA from 1 species
GGCGUACGGGUGCGGAACACGUGUGCAACUAGCUUUAUCUGGGGGAUAGCCUUUCGAAAGGAAGAUUAAUACCCCAUAAUAUGUUGAAUGGCAUCAUUCGACAUUGAAAACUCCGGUGGAUAGAGAUGGGCACGCGCAAGAUUAGAUAGUUGGUGAGGUAACGGCUCACCAAGUCUACGAUCUUUAGGGGGCCUGAGAGGGUGAUCCCCCAACUGGUACUGAGACACGGACCAGACUCCUACGGGAGGCAGCAGUGAGGAAUAUUGGACAAUGGGUGAGAGCCUGAUCCAGCCAUCCCGUGUGAAGGACGGACUGCCCUAUGGGUUUGAAACUUUCUUCGUCAUACGGCAUNAAACCUAACCUCGUCGAGGGUAGCUGAAGGUACUAUACCGAACUAAAGGCAACCGGCUAACUUCCGUGCCCAGCAGCCGCGGUAACUCACGGAGCGGUGCACGCGUUAUCCGGAUUUCAUCUAGGCGCUAUCUACAAGGGUCCCGCUCAGGCGGACUCUGCUCACACGCUCACCGUCGCGCUCGAACAUCCCCCUCCCAACGAAGGGGCAUUUCAAAACNCCGCUCGGGUCGAGAACAAACCCGUGGG